UUUAAUUGAAGAGUUUGAUCAUGGCUCAGAUUGAACGCUGGCGGCAGGCCUAACACAUGCAAGUCGAGCGGGGUUUUCGGACCUAGCGGCGGACGGGUGAGUAAUGUAUAGGGAGCUGCCCGACAGAGGGGGAUACCAGUUGGAAACGACUGUUAAUACCGCAUAACGUCUACGGACCAAAGUAUGGGACCUUCGGGCCAUAUGCUGUCGGAUGCACCUAUAUGGGAUUAGCUAGUUGGUGGGGUAAUGGCUCACCAAGGCGACGAUCCCUAGCUGGUUUGAGAGGAUGAUCA
rnacentral:rRNA from 1 species